rnacentral:rRNA from 1 species
AUACGGAGGAUCCGAGCGUUAUCCGGAUUUAUUGGGUUUAAAGGGAGCGUAGGCGGACUAUUAAGUCAGCUGUGAAAGUUUGCGGCUCAACCGUAAAAUUGCAGUUGAUACUGGUCGUCUUGAGUGCAGUAGAGGUAGGCGGAAUUCGUGGUGUAGCGGUGAAAUGCUUAGAUAUCACGAAGAACUCCGAUUGCGAAGGCAGCUUACUGGACUGUAACUGACGCUGAUGCUCGAAAGUGUGGGUAUCAAACAGGAUUAGAUACCCUGGUAGUCCACACAGUAAACGAUGAAUACUCGAUGUUUGCGAUAUACAGUAAGCGGCCAAGCGAAAGCGUUAAGUAUUCCCCCUUGGGAGUACGGCGGCAACGGUGAAACUCAAAUGAAUUGACGGGG